GACGAACGCUGGCGGCGUGCCUAAUACAUGCAAGUCGAACGGUGAAGGUGGGAGCUUGCUCCUGCUGGAUCAGUGGCGAACGGGUGAGUAACACGUGAGUAACCUGCCCUUGACUCUGGGAUAAGCGUUGGAAACGACGUCUAAUACCGGAUACGAGCUUCAGCCGCAUGGCUAGGAGUUGGAAAGAUUUUUCGGUCAAGGAUGGACUCGCGGCCUAUCAGCUUGUUGGUGAGGUAAUGGCUCACCAAGGCGACGACGGGUAGCCGGCCUGAGAGGGUGACCGGCCACACUGGGACUGAGACACGGCCCAGACUCCUACGGGAGGCAGCAGUGGGGAAUAUUGCACAAUGGGCGAAAGCCUGAUGCAGCAACGCCGCGUGGGGGAUGAAGGCCUUCGGGUUGUAAACCUCUUUUAGCAGGGAAGAAGCGAAAGUGACGGUACCUGCAGAAAAAGCACCGGCUAACUACGUGCCAGCAGCCGCAGUAAAAC
rnacentral:rRNA from 1 species